rnacentral:rRNA from 1 species
UUGGAGGGCAAGUCUGGUGCCAGCAGCCGCGGUAAUUCCAGCUCCAAUAGCGUAUAUUAAAGUUGUUGCAGUUAAAAAGCUCGUAGUUGAAUUUCGGGAUCAAUACGUCGGUCGUGCUUUUUUGGUACGCACUGGCGUCAUUGGUUUCUCCUUUCUGACGAACCAUGAUGUCAUUAAUUUGGUGUUAUGGGGAGUUAGGACUGUUACUUUGAAAAAAUUAGAGUGUUUAAAGCAGGCAUUAGCUUGAAUACAUUAGCAUGGAAUAAUGAAAUAGGACGUUCGAUCCUAUUUUGUUGGUUCCUAGGAUCAACGUAAUGAUUAAUAGGGAUAGUUGUGGGCAUUAGUAUUCAAUUGUCAGAGGUGAAAUUCUUGGAUUUAUUGAAGACUAACUACUGCGAAAGCAUUUGCCAAGGAUGUUUUCAUUAAUCAAGAACGAAAGUUAGGGGAUCGAAGACGAUCAGAUACCGCCGUAGUCUUAACCAUAAACUAUGCCGACUAGGGAUCGGAUGAUGUUAUUUUUAAUGACUUAUUCGGCGCCUUACGGGAAAC